rnacentral:rRNA from 1 species
UACGAAGGGUGCAAGCGUUACUCGGAAUUACUGGGCGUAAAGCGUGCGUAGGCGGUUCGUUAAGUCUGUCGUGAAAGCCCCGGGCUCAACCUGGGAAUUGCGAUGGAUACUGGCGAGCUAGAGUACGGUAGAGGAUGGUGGAAUUCCCGGUGUAGCGGUGAAAUGCGUAGAGAUCGGGAGGAACACCCGUGGCGAAGGCGGCCAUCUGGACCAGUACUGACGCUGAGGCACGAAAGCGUGGGGAGCAAACAGG